rnacentral:rRNA from 1 species
CCUACGGGAGGCAGCAGUGGGGAAUAUUGCACAAUGGGGGAAACCCUGAUGCAGCGACGCCGCGUGAGUGAAGAAGUAUUUCGGUACGUAAAGCUCUAUCUGCAGGGAAGAAAAUGACGGUACCUGACUAAGAAGCCCCGGCUAACUACGUGCCAGCAGCCGCGGUAAUACGUAGGGGGCAAGCGUUAUCCGGAUUUACUGGGUGUAAAGGGAGCGUAGACGGCAGCGCAAGUCUGGAGUGAAAUCCCAUGGCUUAACCAUGGAACUGCUUUGGAAACUGUGCAGCUAGAGUGCAGGAGAGGUAAGCGGAAUUCCUAGUGUAGCGGUGAAAUGCGUAGAUAUUAGGAGGAACACCAGUGGCGAAGGCGGCUUACUGGACUGUAACUGACGUUGAGGCUCGAAAGCGUGGGGAGCAAACAGGAUUAGAUACCCCUGUAGUC